AUGGGAGAAGGCGGUGGGGCUCGCCGAAACCGCAGACUAGUGCCAAUAGCCCCUGCGGUCUG
rnacentral:ncRNA from 1 species